ACAAUAAAAGCAGUGGAUGAGUUGUCUCUCAGCGGAGGGGGGGCUAUAGGCUCACAUGCAUUCUCUGGUUUUGAAUUUAUUAGGAAUCCCUUCAGGCCUUCUGCUGGCAGUCUGUAGCCAAAUCUAGCAGGUAGAUCAUCAAAGGUCUGGGUUCCAUUUUCGAAGUUAUACGCUAAAAUAUCUGCCUCCACUGGUAAGAGAUUCAGGAAAGCAAA
rnacentral:lncRNA from 1 species